GUGCGGUGUUUUCUGCCAUACGUCCUCGCUGAGGUUUAACCACACGCCUUCCUCCCCGCUGAAAGUCUUUACAACCCGAAGGCCUUCUUCAUACACGCGGCAUGGCUGCAUCAGGCUUGCGCCCAUUGUGCAAUAUUCCCCACUGCUGCCUCCCGUAGGAUC
rnacentral:rRNA from 1 species